UGAGGGGUCUGUCCAGAAGUGGUCCGCCGUUUUCAUCUUCGUGUACUCCAAGGCACAGGGCCCCACUGCCAGAGUACAGAACAAUGGCAUGUAAAGAUGCGCGUGAGGAGAAUCCCUUACAUCAAUUGGUGCCCUGUGAGACCAUGCCAUCCCCCCCCCUAAUAUGACUCACCUGCUGUUCUCCACGAGGUAGAGCACGAUCUUGUCCAGCACCUUCUCGAAGAGGGCCGUGCGGAUCCACAGGUUUCUGACCACCUGCGGGCUGAGGCUCGACAGCCUGGGCAGUCUCCGUACGCUGUCCUGGUUGGGCAUGCUUUGGUUCCGCCUGAGGGAAGGAGGAACCCAGAAGUUUCCUUUCUAUUACACUCCUGAGCCUUCCUGCACAGCUCCUCUGCCGGGGUGAAGCUCUUCCCCACCUUCAUGAAGAGCGCUGCUAUUUUAUUGCUACGCAGGAAUCCCGCCGCUCGCCGCUUAAGCCCAUGUAGAACGCAAGCCUCCACCGCAGC